GCAGAUUCUUUACCAUCUGAGCCACCAGGGAAGCCCAUCUCACCACUAUUCUGAAAUGAAUCAAUUCAAUCUUUUCCCUUGUGGAAAUUAGUAACUAGUUGUAAUUAAGAUACAAACAACUGGAGGAGGGACAGAAGCUAUAGGUAUAUGGAGAAACACAGAGACAGAGAAAGAACAGGAUGUCAGUCGAGCACCAAAGCAGGGGACCGAGCAGCUCUCAUGCUAAGUUAUCUAGAUCCCGAGUGUGGCCUGUACACCAGUUGUGGCAUCACCAGGAAUUAUUGGAAAUGCAGAAUCCCAGACCAAAUCCCAAACCUGCUGAGUUGGAAUUUACAUUCAGAAAACAUCCCCCGGUGAUUCACGUGCUAGAGCGUGAUCAGUUUUGCCCCAGGUGGCCCGAGGCCGCAGCUGCGAUGGGCCCUGAGCAGCCUUCAUCCUGCUGAGGCUGAUGGUGCCCACCUUCUGUGUACCCUGAAUCCUGGUCCCGGGUCACAAGGUUAUAAAGGGAAAAGCUGGAACCCCAACAGGAGUCUGCCACUCUGGUCUGACUAGGUCACUGUGAUGUUCUAUUUCUAGCUCAUUUAUCCAGAAACACAUAUAGUUGCCAGGAAACAAAUCACACAGUUGAAGGGUUGGAUCUUUCAAUUCCAGGGAGAGGAGAGGGGCUGGAGGUUGAAUGUUACCAGUGGCCAAUGAUUUGAUCAGUUGUGCCAGUGCCACAAAGCCUUCAUGAAAACCCCAAAGGACCGGGUCCAGGGAGCUUCUGGUUGGUGAACAUGUGGCAAUGUGGGGACGGUAAACUCGUCAGGGAGCGUGGGCAUCCCACACCCUUCCCCACAUACCUUACCCCUAGCAUCGCCUUCCUCUGUCUGUUCCUGAGUUACAGUCUUUUGUAAUAAACGAGUGGUCAUAAAGUGUUUCUCUGAGUUCUAUGAGCAAAUUAACAUAGCCCACAGCUGAGGGCAUCGGAACCUUUGAUCUCCAGUGGGCCAGGCAAAAGGCUGGAUGUUUGAUUGGCGCCUGAAGUGGGGACAGACACCAUCUCCAGAAUUCAUAGAAGACCCUGACUUCCUAUCAAAAGGCCUUCAAAAAACAAGAACAUAAUUAGUGGUUAUCCAAGUGAACACACACUGAAAUGUACGAAUAACAGGUGCAAGGGCUCCUAGAGUCAUUGAUGGCAGCAGCUCUGAGGAUUUGGAGCAAGGGGCCCCAACACCCGAGACAGCCGGAGGAGCGGGUGUUGCAGGUGACUGUGUGGCUCGCGUGGGCGCUCAGCAUUAUUUGAUGUGGGAGAUGACAGCUUGUCUAAAGACAGGGCUGAGCAGGACAGCUGGCUGGGGGAUUAGCCGCAUGUGAGAGGCUGGGAAUUGGAGAAUAGAAGCGGUAGGAUCAGAGCGUCAGCAGGAUCAGCUCUGGCACAGCUGGGGUCUGGGUUCUGGAAUCCAUCUGCUGUGGUUUCUCACUAGGGUUCCCUCAGCUGGUUGGACUGCAGACUGUCUUCCUGCCCUGGCUCUUAUAACUGGUUGCUUUUCUUGGUUUAGGGUCAGCACAUUGCUGCUGCUUCUCCCCUCCGCCCCGUUUUGGCUGCACGCAGCUGCUGGGAUCUUAGUUCCCAGAUGGGAUCGAACCUGAGCUUCCUGCACUAGAAAGGAGAGUCUUGAUCAUCGGAUGGCCAGGGAAGUCCCUCAUUGUUGCUUCUUUAUAGAAGAUGCCUCUCCAGCUCUAUUUCUCUGCAGCCUUUAUCACUAUCUGCAACUAUUUUACUUAAUCACUUGUUUUCUGUUCAUUGUGUGCUUCCUAUCUGAAGAUAAGCUUUAUAAGAGGAUCAACUGUAUCUUCAGCAGUUUCUGUGUCAUUUUAGUAAACAUACAUCAGGUAACUGGCUGGCUGGACAAACAAAUAAAUACAUUUAUCUCCAA